CUUCACAAUCACCCUCCAACAUCACCAUACCAUAUGAUCACACCCACCUCACUACCACACCACUUUAGGCCCCUACGUCUUGGUACGAAUACCCGAUCCAAACCGAAAAGGAAUUCUACGAGUCUCCUGUACCACACAGCAUAACCACACCGAAUAAAAACAGUCCUUCUAUUCCAUCGACAACAAGCCACCAUCUCCAGAUAUAGACAUACAGGCCUCAACAAUGACCGUAGGAAAACUUCCCCGAGACUCCUACGUAACACACGCUACUGCCCUGAAUAUCCUCACCUGACUCCUCACCAACACUCUAUCCUCUCAGCGUAUGUCACCCCGUCAUCCUAUCUGGCACAGAACACUUCCAAAAUAUUCCCGUACAAUAACAUAGCCAUUCAUUGUAUUCAUCCGCCAUAUUUUGCCAAUUUUGUAAACCAAACCGCAACCUAGUUAAUAAAUACCCGGAUGUACAAUAACCGGAACCGGAAACAGCGAUAUCUAUUUUCAUCUAAUACUCGUAUAACCACGAGCGCAAUCCCCUUAUAACCCCUCACUUCGCUGCAUACGGAAUACCUCCAAGACACCAAUCUAAGCUCCGCCAAUACACAUCUCGGACCAAGCCAUGCACUCAGCCGGAGCCAGGCGCUACACAGGUUUGGCCAUUGCAUGCACCACGCUUCACUACAGGCAUUACUAACGAGCGUGUAGGGGCGGGUGAUGAGGGCCUUAUCAUUCGAAACACGCUUCAUAUACGAAUCAUCUCCCUAGUUUUUUCCCCUUUUUACUCCCACCAUCAUCGCCGCUUUUCCCCUAGCUUUCCCCUAAGUCUCCCCGCUUUAAUCCCAGGUUCGUAUAUGACCAACCAAUAGACCUCGCCCCCUGAUGAGAAGUCUUGGUUGGCGUUAUAUGCUUUAGUUCUCCAUUUCGCAGAGCUCUCUGAAAUGACCUACACACUUUUGUCUUAUUGGUUUAUUUUGUUAUGUCCAUUUUGCAUAUACAUGCCGGUUGUUUUUUUCAUGCCUUUGCCUUUUCCCCUUAUCUCUUACCACCGAUUAUCGCUUCAUCUGGGGUAAACUAUCCUUCCUGUCUUGUUAACGUUUCAGCCUCAUCUCCACUCUCACCGCGCUCCCUUUGUCGCCUCCCGCGCCCCUACUUCAUCUUCUUCUCGCCGUUUUACUAGCAUCAUUUUCCAUUGUCCGCAAUACUUCCUUUCACCGCUACAGUAUUUUAUAUUUUUUCUCUCUCAUUCAAUCUCUAUUAUUAUUUAAUUUCGCCUGUCAAUCAUACCACUUACACACUUCAUUAGAUACAUACCUCCACACAUACCUCACCCUCUCCAUUACCGCUCACCAUUUCCUCUCUACAAUCUAAACACUUUUCUUUCUCUUACCCUACAUAUUACUUUCCUACCCUACACACAACACACUUUCUCAAAAACACUACACAGUCUCGUCACAAUAUCCCCGCUCAUCAUUCUGUUCACACUCGUAUUAUCCCCCUUCAUCAGAUUUCACUAAUGCCGCCAUCACCUCUUCACAUCCGCUACACAACACUCGCCACAAGUUACCGAUUUUAACUGUUUCAAUCUCCACAUAAUACCAUUUUUACUAACUACCUUCUCCACUCAACCAAAAACAACCCUUUAUUCAUAACUCUCAUGUCGUUUUAUUAUCAAUCCCAUCUCUUAUAACAACCUUAACUCUUCGUCUCAUAAUCCAUAAUCUUAACCACCCGAACAUAACUUGAUAACCCUAUCACCCCUUCCCCUUCCUUCACACUGCAACUUCACAAACAUAAACUAAGUUUCACCAUUCGCUACACAACCACCUCUCCACCUACUUAUCUCAACCUAUCACCAUCUUUAUCUUCUAUCACCGCCUUCCUAUAUACUACAAUACCACACUCACUCACUCUCUCAUAACGAUAUAUUAUCACCCACAUUUACACCAUAACCUCACAAAUUUUAAAUCGACCUCCGCACCACUACCAUUUUAACACACACAGACCCAUCACG